GGGGGGAGCCUACAUGCAGUCGAACGAAGCGCCCGCGCGGAUUCCCUCGGGAUGAAGCGCGGAUGACUGAGUGGCGGACGGGUGAGUCACGCGUGGGCAACCUGCCCCGUGCCGGGGGACAACAGCCGGAAACGGCUGCUAAUACCGCAUGAUCCGGGAGGGCCGCAUGGCCCUGCCGGGAAAGCUCCGGCGGCACGGGAUGGGCCCGCGUCUGAUUAGUUUGUUGGCGGGGUAACGGCCCACCAAGACUGCGAUCAGCAGCCGGCCUGAGAGGGCGGCCGGCCACAUUGGGACUGAGACACGGCCCAGACUCCUGCGGGAGGCAGCAGUGGGGAAUAUUGCACAAUGGGGGAAACCCUGAUGCAGCGACGCCGCGUGGGCGACGAAGCGCUCCGGCGCGUAAAGCCCUGUCAGCAGGGAAGAAAAAAGACAGUACCUGACCAAGAAGCCCCGGCUAACUACGUGCCAGCAGCCGCGGUAAUACGUAGGGGGCAAGCGUUAUCCGGAUUCACUGGGCGUAAAGGGAGCGCAGGCGGCACGGCAAGUCUGGUGUGAAAGCCCGGGGCCCAACCCCGGGACUGCAUUGGAAACUGCCGGGCUGGAGUGCCGGAGGGGUAAGCGGAAUUCCUGGUGUAGCGGUGAAAUGCGCAGAUAUCAGGAAGAACACCGGUGGCGGAGGCGGCUUACUGGACGGCAACUGACGCUGAGGCUCGAAAGCGUGGGGAGCAAACAGGAUUAAAUACCCUGGUAGUCCACGCCGUAAACGAUGAAUACCAGGUGUCGGCGGGCAGGGCCCGCCGGUGCCGCCCUUAACGCAGUAAAUAUUCCGCCUGGGGAAUACGUCCGCCAG
rnacentral:rRNA from 1 species